rnacentral:lncRNA from 1 species
CUUAAUCUUCCAAGACGUUCAAAAGUAAGUAAAAACGGGUCCUAUUUAUAGUAGAAGAAAUAGCCCAUGCCUUGUUGAACAAGGAAACAGUUUCUGGUCGUCUGCGAACCCAGUGAUUAACGCGUUGAAGGGCGUCGCGUCGCAUCUAAAUUGCGUUGGUUCACUAUUUUGCAUACCUUCUGAAUCCAUUGGAGCGAUGUACACUCCCAGAAUCCUUCCCAUGCACCCACACUCUCCCAAUACUUUUUAGGUGUCCAAAUUGGCGUCAAGCUGUGUUUUGUGGUUUUGUGAUCCAUUCCAAGCCUUUUUGAGUUGUUUUCACUUGAUUUGAAGCUUGUAAAUCCUUCAUAUAUCAUCAUAGUCCAUUAAACAAGUAUCUUAUAGCACUAAACAUAAUAAUUUAGAGCUCAAAAAAACACAACAUCCUCAACGAUGAACUAGAAACAUGAGCUAAGCAUAGGCUAAAUUCACAUUGAGCUUUAACUUAUUGUUUUGACUCUUUUCUUGAUCCAAUUGACCCUAGAACAUUAUAACUAAGUUGUUUCACAUAUAAAUACAUAAUAACAACCUUAGUAACUCAUUAAAAUACAUUAGAAACCCACACAAUAGAUUAGAAAAAUACCUAGCUCAAGCUAGUUACACUAGUUUUCUCGGUUGAACUCUAAAUGCUCAAAUUGAAUCAAAACUCAUGUAAAACCACCAUUAAACAUUGUAAACACAUACUUGGACACAUAAAUGCUCAUUUAUAUCAUUAUCAACCCAUUAAUCACUUGAAUCAUCCUCAAAACAAGGCUAAAUAGGCUAGAAUAUUAGCGCUAGAAUGCAUAAAUAUACCCAACAUCACCCACACUCAUAUUUUCAAUUUUCUAACUUUCCGACCAAUAGGUCGAAAUGAGAUUGGGUGUAUCGAAACCCAAACCAAAGAUCCACCUAUCCUAAAAUAGAUAUUCUGGAGCUACUGGCACAGUCCAUUCAGUCAUAUGUGGCUCGUAUUAAAAGAUAUCUACAUAAGUCCAAAUAAGGCUCUCGAAGCCAUUAAAAAUCACUAUAUCGCAUAAAUGGUAUCAUAAUGCAUCGAGAACCAUGCCAGUCACUAUCAUACCCCAGAAAUACCAUAAUACAACUACAGGAUAAAAUAGUCAAAUCAUAAAGAAAUACACCAUUCGCACAUUUCUUUAAAAAGUCGGUUGUUACAAUAAUGUAACGUAAAUCAAACACCUUCGGAUAUUAAUAAAGGUAAUUUCACUCAAAAGGACACCAAUUAUGAAAAUGGUGAGCAAUAUUUGGUUACUAAAAUAAGCGUUGGAAUAUUUAAAAUUAUUUAAUAAAAGCAAAAAAAUUCUCUAAAUUGGCAUGGCAAUCAGGAUACCUUAUUUGAAAGAAAAAAAUAUAUUAACUGCAUCAUUAUACAACAUUCAAAAAAAAAAUAGAGAAAAAUUAAGCCCAAUAUCAACCUCAACCAAUACAAUUAUGGGGUAAAUCAUAAUCUAGUAAAGAGAAUGAUAACUUGACGAAGUUACAUGAAAAACUCAAGUAACUGACAUAAGCGUUCUUUAUCAAUUUGAGUGAGGCUAUGAUCCCUAUCUUUAAAGAGUUAGCAAGCAAUUGAAGGGGGGGGGGGAGGGGGGAGGGUUGUAAGCAAAGAGAAGUAUUGUAAUAGAAUGCUGGCUCUAAUUCAUAAUUGUUGUAAGAGGAUACAAAGUUACUUCUGUAUGUGCUUGUGGGAAGGCAAUACCCAAGUCAUCUAUCAACUCAUAGUACAUUAUUGUGUAUUGAACCUCUUGUAACAGACUCUCUUUGAGGAUCAAUUGUCCAGUGAUGGCCAUCAAAAAUGAAUUUUAUCUGUACCAAAUGAAGCUCUUGAACAAUAUAAGAUGCAUUCAAACAUCUUUAACACAGAAGAACAGAAAAGCUAUUAGGCAGAGGUAAGAUUGAAUAUUAUAAAUAGAAACUCAUCAAAAGACUCAACUUGCUCACUCCUGGUAGCACAUUCUAAUUUAAGAAAUCCUUUCUAUUUUAUUCCAUCUCAAAACUAAAUCCUUCAAAGUAGCAAGAUUUUGUUAUAAACUAAUACUGUUACAUAGUACUUCAAAUUUUAGGAGACGUUCCUUUUUUAAUAAUUGUUAGAUAAAGCGUGUAAAUAGAAUUAAACUUGUUUGUAAUACAUGAACAAGUGUAUGCAAUAGAGCUAUUCAAGGCUUUUUAGAGCCACUUUAACUAUAUAAUUUUCUUAAUUUUUCAAAAUUAGAAUAAUGAGAAACACACAGAUGAAGAAGGUGGCAAACACACACACUUUUAAAGUCGAUACACUAAUUACCAUAUUGAAUUCUUCAAUAGUGGGAAAUCCUACAAUAUAAAGUUUUGAAAUUUCUAAAUAAAUUCUAAGCAAAAGCAGCAGCAUAGCUCAUGAUUCUGGCGAUAAUUAUCGAUUUAUCACAAUAUAGAUAGAAAAAUCAUCUUAAUACUUCUUAACUAUAAAAACAUCUUUCGUGAAAUAGAAAUUGAAAGCUAGCAUAGAGAUCUGCAGCUUUUACAAAAAAAAUUAAAUAAAAAAGAAAGACAACCUUGCAUCUACGGAAUCAUGGAACAAAUCUGGCUCAUCACAGAAGCUACAUAUCAAAAAUAGGAAAAUUAUAUCAAUUACCCAAACGAUCAAAAAGAAAAAAACUCACCCCCUCCUUCCCGAAAAAAAAUAUACAACAAACUAAAUAUUAGCACAAAUCUCAGAAGCAUAAGUGUAUAACACAUUUUCAAGAAAAAAAGGGUUCUCACCAGUCACUAGAAAAUCUAAGUGAUCUACAACCACAUAAAUUACCUUAUGAUUACUUUGUCAAACACCUCCAAAUUAGAUAAAUUUUAAAAAUGAUUGAGAUUUUUUCAACUUCUGCAAUAUCUAACAAGUCUUCAUGUAAGAGGAUGGUUCGAGAUAUAGAAUUUAUAAAAAAUUUUAAAAAGAUAGACCAUCCUUUUAUUUGGGUAUUUAUCAAGAAUAAAAUAUUGUAAAGGCUUCC